CCGGCAUCCAGAAGGAGGGCGUGUGGAACCUUCUCUGAAAUGAGUACAGCAGCUGCUAACAUUUUCAACCAUGACACGUCCCGUAGCCGCGAGCCUUCCGGCUACAUAAGAAUGAUGUCCCUCACCACCUCUGCAGGCCGUGAAUACCUUCAGGACAGCCUUGUCAAACGUCCCACGGAAGACUUGCAAAUCAAGAUGGAAAACAAGGGCUGGGCGGACAGGUAGGCCCAUUCAGCUGUCACCCCUCCCCCCCGUCCCCACCGUUUGUGCUCCCAUCCUUCAUUUUCAUAGCUCAAUCCUUCUGCCCCUCCGGCUGUCUCCGAGUUAGGUGAGGACGCUGAACCCUGCCUCCACCUCGUGCUGAAGCAUCUGCUUCCUCCUGCCAGCCGUUUGCUCUGCAGGCUUGGAUUAUUAUGGGUCUCAUGUGCCAGCCGGGUCAAAAAAAAGCCUCCUUAUUCCCGUACAGCCCUCAAACUCCAACAGGAAAUAGCUUACAUAAGAUGUCGGCGGCGACAAUAAAUUCUACAGGACAGGAACGGCGUAUAAAAAUGUGCAUAAGCUAUAAUUUAUCGGCAUCGUAAAAUCAUGAGUAAAGACACUAAACCCAUCCCAUGUUGAGAUAACAGAGCUACAAAUAUACAGCCACAGUGUGUAAACUCAG
rnacentral:lncRNA from 1 species